UACGAAGGGGGCUAGCGUUGUUCGGAAUUACUGGGCGUAAAGCGCGUGUAGGCGGGGCUUUAAGUCGGGCGUGAAAUCCCACGGCUCAACCGUGGAAGUGCACUCGAAACUGCGUAGCUAGAGUCCUGGAGAGGAAGGUGGAAUGCUUGGUGUAGAGGUGAAAUUCGUAGAUAUCAAGCGGAACACCGGUGGCGAAGGCGGCCUUCUGGACAGUGACUGACGCUGAGACGCGAAAGCGUGGGGAGCAAACAGG
rnacentral:rRNA from 1 species